rnacentral:tRNA from 1 species
GCCGGGAUGAGGUAGUCUGGUAGCCUAUAGGUCUGUGGAGCCUAGCGCCUGGGUUCAAAUCCCGGUCCCGGCC